AGCCGCGGUAAUACGAAGGGUGCAAGCGUUACUCGGAAUUACUGGGCGUAAAGCGCACGUAGGCGGCUUUGCAAGUUAGAGGUGAAAGCCCUGGGCUCAACCUGGGAAUGGCAUUGGAAACUGGCUGACUGGAGUGCGGUAGAGGGUAGUGGAAUUCCCGGUGUAGCAGUGAAAUGCGUAGAUAUCGGGAGGAACAUCCGUGGCGAAGGCGACUACCUGGACCAGCACUGACACUGAGGCACGAAAGCGUGGGGAGCAAACA
rnacentral:rRNA from 1 species